rnacentral:rRNA from 1 species
AGCGAACGUUUGCGGCGGGCCUAACACAUGCAAGUCGAACGGGCUAGCAAUAGUCAGUGGCGCACGGGUGCGUAACACGUGGGUAAUCAACCCUUCAGCUCGGGAUAACGCCUUGAAAGGGGCGCUAAUACCGGAUGCGACGCGAGGAGCCUCGGCGCUUCGCGGGAAAGAUUCGCAAGGAUCACUGAAGGACGAGCCUGCGGCCCAUCAGCUAGUUGGUGAGGUAAGAGCUCACCAAGGCGAAGACGGGUAGCUGGUCUGAGAGGAUGAUCAGCCACACUGGAACUGAGACACGGUCCAGACUCCUACGGGAGGCAGCGGUGGGGAAUAUUGGACAAUGGACGAAAGUCUGAUCCAGCCAUCCCGCGUGCAGGAUGAAUGCCCUAUGGGUUGUAAACUGCUUUUGGAAGGGAAGAAACGCCUGGAUUUAUCCGGGCCUGACGGUACCUUCAGAAUAAGCACCGGCUAACUCCGUCCCAGCAGCCGCGGU